rnacentral:rRNA from 1 species
AAGUCCCGCAACGAGCGCAACCCUUAAACUUAGUUGCCAGCAUUUAGUUGGGCACUCUAAGUUGACUGCCGGUGACAAACCGGAGGAAGGUGGGGAUGACGUCAAAUCAUCAUGCCCCUUAUGAUUUGGGCUACACACGUGCUACAAUGGACAAUACAAAGGGCAGCUAAACCGCGAGGUCAUGCAACUCCCAUAAAGUUGUUCUCAGUUCGGAUUGUAGUCUGCAACUCGACUACAUGAAGCUGGAAUCGCUAGUAAUCGUACAUCAGCCUGCUACGGU